rnacentral:rRNA from 1 species
UACGGAGGGUGCAAGCAUUGAUCGGAAUUACUGGGCGUAAAGGGCGUGUAGGCGGCAGAACAAGUCAGAUGUGAAAUUCCGCGGCUCAACUGCGGAGCUGCAUUUGAAACUGUUUUGCUAGAGGGUAGUUAGGGAAAACGGAAUUCCACGUGUAGCGGUGAAAUGCGUAGAUAUGUGGAAGAACACCGGUGGUGAAGACGGUUUUCUGGGCUAUACCUGACGCUGAGGCGCGAAAGCUAGGGGAGCAAACAGG